rnacentral:rRNA from 1 species
GACGAACGCUGGCGGCGUGCUUAACACAUGCAAGUCGAACGGAAAGGCCCUGCUUUUGUGGGGUGCUCGAGUGGCGAACGGGUGAGUAACACGUGAGUAACCUGCCCUUGACUUUGGGAUAACUUCAGGAAACUGGGGCUAAUACCGGAUAGGAGCUCCUGCUGCAUGGUGGGGGUUGGAAAGUUUCGGCGGGUGGGGAUGGACUCGCGGCUUAUCAGCUUGUUGGUGGGGUAGUGGCUUACCAAGGCUUUGACGGGUAGCCGGCCUGAGAGGGUGACCGGCCACAUUGGGACUGAGGUACGGCCCAGACGCCUACGGGAGGCAGCAGUGGGGAAUAUUGCACAAUGGGCGGAAGCCUGAUGCAGCAACGCCGCGUGCGGGAUGACGGCCUUCGGGUUGUAAACCGCUUUCGCCUGUGACGAAGCGUGAGUGACGGUAAUGGGUAAAGAAGCACCGGCUAACUACGUG